ensembl:lncRNA
CAGGGGUUGUGUUAUUGUUGUAGUGGGAAGUUCUUCACAUCAUAAAUAUGGCCCUGGGAAACGCGACUUUGAGGAACUGAAACAUGCUUUCGAGAUAUAUACAUGACAUUAUAAAGUAUAUAACAAAUUGGUUAAAGAAGACAGUGACAGCUGAAGAAACUGCUCUUGUCUGUAUCGUCUUGUACCGAUGACCUUGUCCUGCUCAUCCUUGACUCUGCCCACUCGUCUUGCCAGCCGCUUUUGUUGGAUUUUGAUAGCAGAGAUCGGGAUGGAUGAAUGACGGCCUCCCUAACUCGCCUGUGACUCUUUUGUUUCUGUUCAGAUGAGUUUGAAAAACACACACAGUCCAUUCAGAUACAGGUGUGUGUGUGUGUGUCCUGUGGUGUCAGUCUCUCAGCUGUGAUUACAAUGAGGACUGACCCUGGUGUCGUGGUGAUAGUAGUGCUCUAAUGAACACUAAUGAAUCAGAUGGCUGACAAUGUGAGCACCAGGAAUCUUUUGUGUUCAUGUCACUUCAGUCAUGAUGAAGAGGUGUGUGUGUAUGUGUUGUGUGUGUUGUGCCUGAAGCUAUACAACCAAAUCAAUCUAUCAGCAGAUAAAAGAAUCAUGCAUCACACAGGAGUCCAGGAAUAGAUGCAGAUUUAGAAGAUCAUUUGCUGGGCUAUGCAAAACCUAUGCUAAUUCUCAGUGAUUGCUCUGAUGAGUCAUUUGGGUUUUGUCUUUCUUCUCUUUGUAUGUGGCUCUGCUCUACAUGGGUUUUCUUUGAGUAUUUUGGUAUUCCUUUGUUCAUCCUCAUUGUUGGAUAUAUGUUUCCAUUAGUAAUAACACAGAUUUUUACCUUAGCAAAAGCAGCUUCUCAAAUUAGCUUCAGAAACAAUGCAUUUGUUCGCAAUUACUUAUAUACAGUAUGCAUACACUGGCCUGUUGUGGCUGAUAGACAGAUAUUCAAAUUCUAUUGUAUUUUGUCAAAAUAAAUAAAUAAUAAAAGCACAGAAAACUAAAAUCAGUAAUUUAAAUAAAAGAGCUAAAAAUAAAUCAUAGCAUGCAAUAUUCAUUUGAGAUCUGUUAAAGAUUACAUCUAACAGUGUUAUAAAAUUAUUUAUAUUUUUAAUGUUUAAGAUUAAGGCAUUAGAUGAUGGCAAAGGCAAUCUAAAUGUUAAAACUGGGAAAAUGAGCAUACAAUUAAAUAUCCAAUAACAACUGAUAAAUAUUCAAUGUUGACUGAUACGAUGAAUAAAAAAACACCCUCUAAUAUCAACCGAUAAUAGAUAUGGUACCAAUAAAGUAAAACUAAAAAACUAAAAACUGAAAUCAGUUAUUUUAAAUUCUAUAGUGAAUUUAGGCAAAACAACAUUAUAAUGUGCAUUAUGAAAAAAGGACUGAUUAUUUUAAGAUAUGAAAAUUUGGGAAAUGCACAUUUAAAUGCCGAAUAUCAUCCAAAAGCCCUAAAUAAAAAUAAAUCUGUAAUAUCGCCCAAUAACCAGUCUAUGCUGCACUCAAAGCUGCUGUUGGUUAGGUGGAGAUUUAAUGGAUAAACUUAUUUAAUAAAUAAAAUCGUACAAAUUGUGAAAAUACUUUUUUUGUUGUGAAAGUUAUAAAAGUUGUCAUCUGUGAUAUUUACUUUAAUCACUCUAGUUGUUAUGUGUCAUUAAUGGCUAUUAAUAGGGCUAGAAAAAUAGCUUGACUUGAAUCAUUUACUAAUACAGAUAAUAAUCGAGCUGCUUCUGUUGCAUGAACAGAACAAUUUUGGAGUGAUUAUAUUGUUGUGAAACACUGGCUGAGCAGAUGUACUUAGUAAUGCUCUCAACAGUUUUUUUUUCAGAGGGAAAUAGAGAAGUGAGUGCUUAAAUAAAACCUUCAUCUGAGUUGUGUAGAGGCCUGGAGGUUGACUUUUCGGUGAAUGCAUUCAUCGUUUAUAAUGACACGAUUGGCCUCAUUUGCAUAUUUGAACUGUUUGGUUAGACUGUUGGUUGGCUGGUUAGACAGCACGCAGUUCCUCUGGGUUCUUAUGGAAACAUUUUGGUAAUCUGAGUUAUUUUACCCACCUAACUGAUUUGGUAGAUUUUGGGAUUGUUAUGUAACCAGUAGCACAAUGUUGUAUGAGUAACCGCUGGACGUAUCAUUGUAGCUUAAAGCCAUCUCACACACACAAGCUAAUGAUGUCAGCGCACACCCUACACACUCCCCUCACAGUAUUACUUUCACAUCCAAUGCUGCACUGUGAUUCAACAGAGGAACAAAGAAAUUAAUAAAUGAAACAAACUAAAUAAUGACACUCAUCCUCUCUUUGCGUGAGUGUGUUUGUGUGAGUCAGUGUAAUGGUUUAUUUAAUGAGGUUAGAUAAAAGAUGUUAUUUAUAUUGAAGUCAGUAAAGUUUUUUUUUUUAAAUGUUUUUGAAAGAAGUAUCUUAGGUCCAAAAACACUGUAGCAUAUUUAUUUGAGCAAAAAUACAGUAAAUUCAUUAAUAUUGUGAAAUAUUAUUACACAAUAUUAAAAUAACUUCUAGUUUAAUAUAUUUUGAAAGGUUAUUUAUUCCUGUAAUGGCAAAGCUAAAUUUAAAGCAGCCGUUACUCCAGUUUUUAGUGUCACAUGAUCAUUCUAAUAUGCUAAUUUGGUGCUUAAGAAACAUUUCUUCUUCUUACUAUUAUCAGUUUUGCUGUUUAAUAAUGUCUCUGAAACCAAGAUAUAUUUUUUUCUGAAACCAUGAUCAUUUUUAGAUAAUUUAAUGAACACAACUUAUAAAUUGUUGAAAAUUGUUGCUGAUGACACUUAUAUUUUACAUAAGAAUUUUAACAUUACCCUUAGGGAGACGAUUGAGGACCCUUGAUGUGCACAAAAUUUUUCCCUGCCAACUGCGGUUACAUUUUUUUAAUAGAGAAUUGCAAAAAUAAGAUGUUAUAUUGGUACACUGUAGCUUUUAAUUUGUUUUUAAG